CUGGUUGAUCCGGCCAGUAGUAUACGCUUGUCUCUAAGAUUAAGCCAUGCAUGUCUAAGUAUAAAAGUAUUCUAUACUUGAAACUGCGAAUAGCUCAUUAAAUCAGUUAUAGUUUAUUUGAUGGUGCCUUACUACAUGGAUAACCGUAGUAAUUCUAGAGCUAAUACAUGCCAAGAAAACCCAAACUCACGUGCGGGUUGUAUUUAUUAGAUAAAAAACCAUUACUCGCAAGAGUUUUUGUGGUGAGUCAUAAUAACUGUUCGAAUCGCGGUGCAAACUGCGAUAGAUCAUUCAAAUUUCUGCCCUAUCAGCUCUCGACGGUAGUGUAGUGGACUACCGUGGCGUUAACGGGUAACGGGGAAUUAGGGUUCGAUUCCGGAGAGGGGGCCUGAGAAACGGCCACCACAUCCAAGGAAGGCAGCAGGCGCGCAAAUUACCCAAUCCUGAUACAGGGAGGUAGUGACAGGAAAUAACAAUACCGGGCAUUUACAUGUCUGGUAAUUGGAAUGAGUAUAUUUUAAAUCCCUAUACGAGGAUCAAUUGGAGGGCAAGUCUGGU
rnacentral:rRNA from 1 species